rnacentral:lncRNA from 12 species
GCAGGCUUCAAGUUGCUGCAAUCAUUCACUGAGGCAAUAGUACAAAGCUGCCAAUUUGAAAACAAGACUUUGCUCAGUAGCAGAAGAAAAUGAAAAUUCAAGGAAAGCAUCUUGUCUGUGACAAACCCUGGGAUGAACUGCACUUGUCAGUGGAAGACACAGCAGGAAGAAAACUGCAGAGAAA